rnacentral:lncRNA from 1 species
GCGGAGUAGCUGGGGUGUGGGAAAGGAACACCUUCGUACAACUUCCAGCUUUCAGCCCCUUGGAGAGAUCUCCAAGUUCCCCCGAGCCGCCAGGACUUCCUUUCCUCGAUCUCUCGGCCGCCUUCUCCUCCUUCUCCGAUCGUUUUUUUCCCCCUCCCCCCACUGUCUUCUCUACGGUUUAAUUAAAGUUCAGCGACUCCACUUGCCUCUCCUCUCAUUUCUUUCGGAAAGCGGAAACCAGACGACCCAGCGGCCACGGGACGAGCCGCCCCAACUCAACCCCAGCAGGACGCUGGAGGGGCCUCCCUCGCCCGCCUCUCUUCGCCGGCGCUGGUCUCCCGCACCCGGGUCUGCAGUCCCUCCGCCAUCUCGCAGGUGUGCAGCCGCUAGGCCUGGGGGAUCCGAGUGACUGGGGCUGGAUAGGAAUGCCUUCGUGUUUCCCAAGACCCCCGGGCCUGCUCCACAAAGUUUGAAGGGUGGGUACACCCCGACCCAGGAGGAGUCGAGGCGCCUUGAAUUUUCCUUCGCGAGUUUGGAGACUAGCCGAUUUUUCAUGAAGCAAGCAAAGACCGCGGUCCCGGAUCCUGCAACAUCUACCUCAUUCUCUCCAGGCCUCUCCACUUGCCCGAGCUCUCAGCCACCAGGAGACAGAAGGAAGGGACUUCUGGGCUGCGUUGGGAGCGGGCACUGUCCCCUAUCCACUCCUGCUCGGUUUCCCAAAGUCCAGCGACAUCCGACCCUCCUGGGGGGAAAAAUACCAAUACCCAGACACCUCUGCACCCUGUUAUAUGACUGGGCUUGCUUCAGGAAUAUCUUACAAAGAAGAAGAAGAAGAAGAAAGAACGGCUUGGAGUCAUGUUUACAUCUAGUUCUACUGAUCGGUUCCCAUCUGGAGAGUUUAUUUAUAACUCCCUCUAUAACUCUCUGUUUGGAGGCACUGGUGGCUCUAUUGACAGACUGAUGUCUAGGAAAUAUUGCUCUAUGUCUAACCGUACCUAAAUGUGCUGUGGUUGUAUUUACAGAUUUAUGUUUGAAGGAAAUAUAAUUAUUUCCAUUGUAUUUGUGCAUAUACAGUAG